ensembl:snRNA U1 U1 spliceosomal RNA
AUACUUAUCCUAGCAGGGGAAACACCAUGAUCAUGUAGGUGGUUUUCCCAGUUCGAGGCUCACCCAUUGCUCUGUGGGUAUGCUGACCUCUUCGAUUUCCCCAAAUGUGGGAAACUCAGCUGUAUAAUUUGUGGUGGUGGUGGGGUUUAAAAAAAUGAAGAAAAGAUAUCAUUUUACCAUUA